rnacentral:rRNA from 1 species
UACGUAGGGUGCGAGCGUUGUCCGGGAUUAUUGGGCGUAAAGGGCUCGUAGGCGGUUUGUCGCGUCGGGAGUGAAAACCAGGUGCUUAACACCUGGCUUGCUUUCGAUACGGGCAGACUAGAGGUGUUCAGGGGAGAACGGAAUUCCUGGUGUAGCGGUGAAAUGCGCAGAUAUCAGGAGGAACACCGGUGGCGAAGGCGGUUCUCUGGGAAUGACCUGACGCUGAGGAGCGAAAGUGUGGGGAGCGAACAGG